rnacentral:rRNA from 1 species
UUAAUUGAAGAGUUUGAUCAUGGCUCAGAUUGAACGCUGGCGGCAGGCCUAACACAUGCAAGUCGAGCGGUAGCACAGGAGAGCUUGCUCUCCGGGUGACGAGCGGCGGACGGGUGAGUAAUGUCUGGGAAACUGCCUGAUGGAGGGGGAUAACCACUGGAAACGGUGGCUAAUACCGCAUAACGUCGCAAGACCAAAGUGGGGGACCUUCGGGCCUCAUGCCAUCAGAUGUGCCCAGAUGGGAUUAGCUAGUAGGUGGGGUAACGGCUCACCUAGGCGACGAUCCCUAGCUGGUCUGAGAGGAUGACCAGCCACACUGGAACUGAGACACGGUCCAGACUCCUACGGGAGGCAGCAGUGGGGAAUAUUGCACAAUGGGCGCAAGCCUGAUGCAGCCAUGCCGCGUGUAUGAAGAAGGCCUUCGGGUUGUAAAGUACUUUCAGUGAGGAGGAAGGCGUGAUGCUUAAUACACAUC